UAACCUUAGUAAAUUCUAUCUUCUCAUUAACGAGAUGACAGCAGAUCAAACUAUCCCUAUCUGUUUAAAGAUUUUCUUCUUUGUUUCAAUGGUGUAAGGUUGAAAAUGUAUUAAAGAAACUUUAAGAUUCGGGUACUUUGAUUCGCUGGUGACUAAGUGUCGAUACGCCUCAUUAGUCUUCUUUUAUUGGCUGAUCAAUGUCACUUAGUUUUUAUUAAGUUACAAUAUAUUUUUUAUGUCGGAUUGCAAUGAUGCAGUUUUAUUCUAUUCUUUGUGCUAAUCUAUUGUAAGUUGGACGUCUAAGAAUAUUUGAGUAUUUUGUUUUUAAAAUGAGAUUCUAUGGUGGAUUAACUGAUCUAGUUGAACCUCCAAGUACCGAUGAGUGUGUACCAGGCUGCGACUGCCACGACAUCUAUAUUGAUCAUACCUGCAUGAAGUAAACAUGGAAACCAGACUCGGAGAUACUAUUUAUUAUAGCUAGCCAUAUUAUUAUAUACCUUAUUAAGUUGUACGUAGGUUGAAAUUAGAUAAUAGGGAUCAUGACGAGGU